UACGUAGGUGGCAAGCGUUGUCCGGAUUUAUUGGGUUUAAAGGGUGCGUAGGCGGUCUUAUAAGUCAGUGGUGAAAUACGGCAGCUCAACCUGUCGAGGUGCCAUUGAUACUGUAGGACUUGAGUACAGACGAGGUAGGCGGAAUUGACGGUGUAGCGGUGAAUGCUUAGAUAUCGUCAAGAACACCGAUAGCGAAGGCAGCUUACGUAGGCUGUGAACUGACGCUGAGCACGAAAGUGUGGGAUCAAACAGG
rnacentral:rRNA from 1 species